CUUUAACAAUCCGGAACAAGCUGAAAAUUGAAACGACGUGUUGGUUCAUUUCUCCGUAAUAAGGAAUGAAUAACAACAUGUUCGAGUCUCUCAAUGCUUACAGUCUGCAGCGUUGCAAAACGCCUGUGG
rnacentral:sRNA from 2 species